UACAGAGGGUGCGAGCGUUGUCCGGAAUCACUGGGCGUACAGGGCGCGUAGGCGGUCUCUUAAGCGUGUGGUGAAAGCCCGGGGCUCAACUCCGGGUCGGCCGUGCGAACUGGGGGACUGGAGCUUGUCAGAGGCAGGCGGAAUUCCGGGUGUAGCGGUGGAAUGCGUAGAGAUCCGGAAGAACACCGGUGGCGAAGGCGGCCUGCUGGGACAGUGCUGACGCUGAGGCGCGACAGCGUGGGGAGCAAACAGG
rnacentral:rRNA from 1 species